ensembl:lncRNA
AGAGGAUUGAUACCACGUUCCCCUUCCGCUCACCUUGGAGGGAAGCUGCAGUCUGAGUUUAUUCUGAAUGGAGCUCCUCUGCAGAGCAUGAGGUGCUGGAUGGGGAUUCAGGUAUUUUGAGGAAGAAAACUUCUGCAAAGUGGGAGGUGAACAGCUUUUUGAAGUACUCGGCUCUUAUUUCAAGAAAGGGGAAUUCCUUGCAUUUUCAUACAAUACCCAACUAAUUAAACAAAGCUGCUGCAGAUUACAGCAGCGCAGCUCCUUCAGAUACCUCAACAGCUGUGCACGGAGUCCUUUAAAAUCCAAAGCAUGCUGUUUCUGUUAGUCAGAAUAUUUUCAUCUUUGCUAUACUCCAUUCUAAGCUCCACCCAUCCACUACCCAGUAAAUUUCCCUGCCCUUUUGGCAGGAAAUGGGAAAUGAUCACAGAAUCACACAAUCAGUCAUAGGAGUUGGAAGAGACCUCUGGAGAUCGAGUCCACCGCCCUGCUGCUAAAGCGGGUUUGCAACAUCAGGUUGCACAGGCAGGCAUCCAGACAGGUCUUGAAUAUCUCCAGAGAAGGAGACUCCACGACGACAUCUGUUAACUUUUACAAACAUGCUGGAAAAAAAAAUAAUGAUAAGAAAUAAGAAAGAUUAGCUCUUUGAUUUCCCAUCCUUAUGCAAGAACUGCUUAUUCUCUGCACUUCCAAUCUCAAUAUCUUGUUGGAUUUCUGCUGGGCCAACAGGUGGAGAUGGCACACAGAUCCCCAGUGAUGUGCUCUGUCCAGGCUAAGUCUGGGUCUGGAAGUUGCCAGAUUUAAGAAUGAGUUUGCUACAGACAAAGACUCUGUUCACCUGAAGGUCUCAGCAGGAACUGGAGGUUCCCUUCACACGUACAAGAUGCUACUGACAAGACGAGGCCUGCAUCCUGCUCAGGAGAACACCUCAGUGCCUUCCACUGGAGAACAAAAUCCAUAAGGUUUUAUUUGAGGUGGGUUUGUGUUCUCAGAAGUCCCUCUGAAGACACAGACAAAGCCCAGCACUCCAUGCACACACUAGUGGAAUUGCCAGCUGUAUAUAUCAACUUAUAUAGCUGUGUAUAAGAGACUUAUCAAGUAUUUUAAGCAAGUUUUAAGAAGAUCCUCAACUUGCACUUGAAUACUUCGUGGAGAUGAAUGUCUUCCAAAGACUGUUUCACCCAAAGGCUUAAUCUGAAGACCAUAGAAUCACAGAAUUUUUUGAGUUGGAAGAGAGCUUUAAAGGCCAUCUAGUCCAACUCCCCUGCAAUGAAGAAGACACCUACAGCUACCUCAGAGUCCCAUCCAACUUGGCAUUGAAUGUGAUGGGCAUCCACCACCCCACUGGGCAACCUGUUCCAGUGCUUCACUACCCUUAGUGUAAAAAGCUUUGUCCUUACAUCCAAAAUUAUUCUCUCCUCUUUUAGUUUGACAGAUCAUUCUAGAUUGGUCAUUCUUUCAAGAAGGAUCUUUAAAUCUACUGCAAACUCAGCAAUGUAGAUUUUGGCACUCAUCCUCCAGGCUCUCCCAUGGGUGGUUACCACAGAAUGUCAGACCAUCUUCUGAAGAAAGAUAAAUAGCCAAGUAUUAACUUUGGGCUUCGUUUGAAAAUCAACUAGUUUUCUUUAAAAUUCUUCUCCAAGAUGUCCAGAGGGUGUGGACCUGGUGUUCUCUUUGCAAACUGGGAUCUCUUCCAUGUUCAUGUGGGGGAUGGCGAGGCAGCCAGAAGACCAAAAGGGCCUUCACAGAAGCUAUUUCCCCCUUCAUUGCAGCAGAUCAGUUCAAAUUACAGUCAGCACUCAAAAAGGGAGUUCAAGUGAGAAGGGAAACACGUCCUCUUAGUGCCCACCACUGCCAAGCUCCGCUGCAUUUUGUGCAAGCCAAAGCUGCUGUGACUUCAAAGUCUGAAGACUGUCCUGAGGUGUAAUGCAUUUAUCAGGUGUUUCGUUGGAUAAGUCCCUUCUCUCUCAACUCUUUAGGAGUUUUCUUGGCACCAGAUAAUAGUGGAACAAACCACAUCUUGUCUGUGCACGUUCAGUUAAGAUCAACUGAAUUAACUUCUCUUAAUUAAGACAGUUCCUACUCUGCCAGCUCCCUCUGGAUUUUUACAUCCUGCAAACCCCAGCCGCAAUGCAUAGUGCAGUUCCAAGUAUAUAAAGAAAGCUGAAGUUUGCUGCUGAAAAAAUACUGUAGGAAACAUCUGUGGAAAUUAGUUUUGUACUUUUCUAGAACUGUUUCUCCAAGAUGACUGCUGGUAAAUUUUAUGGGAAAUAUUUGUCUUUGUUUUCAGCUUCUUUAAAAGGAAACUUUUAGUUUUUUUUUCUUUUAGUUGUUUCCCCGUCCUUUCAUCCUUAGGUAGUUUUAUGGUAAGUAAAACAGCAAAGUUCAAGCUCAGUUGGAGACCACUCCAGAGAAGCUCUUAACUGUGUGAAAUGUCCUUCUGACUUCCAGAGGGAAUGCUCAAAUGCUUCAACUUGUGCUUAAGUGCUUUGCAGCAGGGAGCUCCUGAUCUCUCUGGAAAUGUGACCUCAGGGGUGUAUCUUGGAUGGGUGAUAAAUUUUUCUCUUGAGGAGGCAGAACACAGAGAGCAUCGUCUCAGGUAGUCGUUGGUGUGCAGCUCUAAGAGGUGACCGCUGUGAGUGACACCAAAGGUGAUUGUGUCCCACUGGAGACUGGCAGAAGGGAGGGGAGAGUAGCAACUCAGCUGCCCUGCUGCAAAGUCCAGGAUAUCUUUACAAAGAAAAAGAUUGAGAUGACAGACCACACCGCAAGGUACAGCUGGUGAGGUAGAGACACGUGGUCUCCUUCUCUGACCCUCCUUCACAGAAGGGCAGAGAGCAAAGCACAGAUUUCUGCAGCUGUUUGCAGGGAUGUCAGAGUCCUCUGGCAGAUAUGUUUGGCAUACCAUGAGCUGCAAAGCAGUGGUCAGAGGUUGCUGCACACAACUGCCUGGGAUCUCAGACUCAGGAACAUUGGUGUGGUUUUGUUAUAUAACCAAAGCUUUUUUAUGCAACUGUUCCUCCAGCACUGCCCUGCUUUAUCCGAUUAUUAUGGAGGAUGACAAACACUGUUAUUUUUAACAGCUGGAUCAAGGCUCAAUGAUCUUAAAAGGAUAUUCAGAAGCAGCUGCUUCCGUAAGGCUAUGCAGACAGUGGUGACCGCUGCAAAAGCGGUUUGCCUCUCUUUUGGAGACUCUGAACCCAGCACUGAUGUUGCCUUGCACUUUCAAAUGACAGGCUGUGAUCUUUUUUUCCCCUAAAUGUUGUAAGCUGCCUUUUGACAUUCAUCCAGAAACACAACAACAGCUUUCCAUGAGAUUCUAUGAUUCUGUGACAACGAAUUCACUCACUACUUCCCAUCAGCAGGCAGAUGCUCAGCCACUUCCAAGCAGUGAAGACAAAGGACACGACUGGUCAUAAAAUAUGAGACUCCAAGAGAAGUGUUUGUAUUUGGCAUAUAAAGAGCUUGCAAAAUGCAAUUCUUUAAGGAUAUUACAUUAUAAAGAGAAUGAAGGUCAGCAUCAGCAGAUAUUAACAUCUUCUGCUCAAAAAAGAACAAUUAG